rnacentral:rRNA from 1 species
UGAGGAAUAUUGGUCAAUGGGCGCAAGCCUGAACCAGCCAAGUAGCGUGCAGGAUGACGGCCCUAUGGGUUGUAAACUGCUUUUAUACAGGGAUAAAGUUAGUCACGUGUGGCUAUUUGCAGGUACUGUAUGAAUAAGGACCGGCUAAUUCCGUGCCAGCAGCCGCGGUAAUACGGAAGGUCCAGGCGUUAUCCGGAUUUAUUGGGUUUAAAGGGAGCGUAGGCCGUCUGUUAAGCGUGUUGUGAAAUGUAGAUGCUCAACAUCUGAAUUGCAGCGCGAACUGGCAGACUUGAGUGUUCGCAACGUAGGCGGAAUUCGUGGUGUAGCGGUGAAAUGCUUAGAUAUCACGAAGAACUCCAAUUGCGAAGGCAGCUUACGGGAGCACAACUGACGCUGAAGCUCGAAAGUGCGGGUAUCGAACA